rnacentral:rRNA from 1 species
AGCGAACGCUGGCGGCAGGCUUAACACAUGCAAGUCGAGCGCCCCGCAAGGGGAGCGGCAGACGGGAGAGUAACACGUGGGAACAUACCUUUUGGUUCGGAACAACUGAGGGAAACUUCAGCUAAUACCGGAUAAGCCCUUACGGGGAAAGAUUUAUCGCCGAAAGAUUGGCCCGCGUCUGAUUAGCUAGUUGGUGAGGUAAUGGCUCACCAAGGCGACGAUCAGUAGCUGGUCUGAGAGGAUGAUCAGCCUCAUUGGGACUGAGACACGGCCCAAACUCCUACGGGAGGCAGCAGUGGGGAAUAUUGGACAAUGGGCGCAAGCCUGAUCCAGCCAUGCCGCGUGAGUGAUGAAGGCCUUAGGGUUGUAAAGCUCUUUUAACGGGGAAGAUAAUGACGGUACCCGUAGAAUAAGCCCCGGCUAACUUCGUGCCAGCAGCCGCCGUAACAC